CUGAAAGCGCCUUGAGGAUGUUGCUGGCCUUGUUUAGGCAAAUGGUGCACUCCUCGGACAUUUCAAAAAAUUUCCAUCACAACCUCUUGUGCACUUCUUGUAGGAAAUGCCCCCCUCCCUUCCAAGGGGGGGUUGGUGCUUUCCUAUGUACCUUUUUCAUACGAAACCUUGAUGCAUUUCUUUUGAAUGGUUGUUGUACAACAUAUAAUGUAUAAUAAAAA
rnacentral:misc_RNA from 1 species